GUCUCGGUGCUCUUUCACUGCUCUGUAAGGGCACAGUUAAGACUUUUUUCUCUAAGGAAUUUGUCUUAACAUUGCCAUGCUGUACCCACUCAGGCACCCAACUUCUCCCUGUGUGGAUAGCUCCGUUUAUCAAAGAUGCACAGGUUUUAGAACCAGUGAGACCUGCAUGGAAAGCCUAGCUUCACCUCUUAGCAGCCAUUUGACCUCAGUUUCCUCAUCUCUAAUAUGGAUCUAAGGAUGCCUGGCCCACAGGAGUGUUUUGUGGUUUAAGUGAAAGCAUGGAUGUGAAAGUACUCGGAGCAUGCCAAAUAUAAAACUGGCCCUCAGCUUUUGUAUGAGGCAUCUGAAUUUGCUGGGAUUGUCAUGUAGCUUCUCCAUCUGGUGCAUCUUGUGUCCUGGAACCAACAGAAAGCUUCUCCAUUACUUUUACUUCCUUCCUAUCCCUACAGAGCUGGAUGCAGCCGGUGCUCAAAAUUCCUGCUAAAUGAAGGAGUGCUGCAGAGAGCAAAAUCUGCUGUUUGGAACUCUCCCCCAGGGUGCAGUGGAAAGGCAGAGGGUGUUGUGGACUCUCCCAAAGUGGUUAUGCAACGUGAAGGACAGGCCUGCUUCUUGCAGGUGCGUCAGAAGCUUCUCCGUGACUGCCCGGCACACUGGUUGCCCAAGAUUCAGAUCAAAGCUGCUCUCCACCCCUGCUGUGAGGACUUGGAAGCACUCCUGCAGGAAGAGGCACUGGGCCUGCCCCAUCUCUCCCAUCCCCUGCUGGAGCUCUCUUCAUCACAGCUCACUCGGGCAUCUGCUUUUGACCUCGGCGCCUUCCCUGUGCGGCGGGGCCUGGUGUCUGGAGGACCGCCAGUUCUUCCCGUCUGCCAAGCUGCCUCUCUUCUAUCACACGAGUGACCUGGGAAACCCCACCUCCCCCCCAGCAGGAGCUCAGUCUCCCUGGACUGAUCGCAGGAAAGGUGCUGCUCUGAGGGCACAGCUCCCGACACAGGCACCAUGCUCGGCUCGCACUCGAAGGCCCUUCUGAUACAGCCUUUCUGCUCAAGACUUUCCUUCUGUUUGUGUGCGUCCAGGUGUCCAUCUCAACAUUUUUAAAAAAUCUUAAAUAGUAAGGCUACUUUUGUUCUCUGUCCUGCACACUGCCUGUACAUAAACAUGCCUGCUGGAGACACCCGGUCUUUACAAAGCAGUUACGCUUGAGCACUUUCUCUCUCUCCUCCACCCUAUCUCAGGCUCCAGCACGUUUCCCCUCUGCCUGAAAGUACAUCUCCUGCCUUGUCUCCUGGAGAAUGGCUGUCCUAAGUCAGGCUCGCGUCAGAUGCCUUGCUGACCUCCUGGGCUGAGACAAUGCCCCCUUCCUUGGUGGCUCUGCUGUGCCUCUGGUAGCGUCUUGUCUCUACUCGCCACUCUGCACUCUGUGUGAAUAUCUUCCCUGGCUGAACUAGUUGCUCCUCGAGGGCAGGAGUGAUGAUGCAUUUAACUCUGCAUCACUGGUGCCCAGCACAGGGUCUGGCUGCAGAUGAAUGAAGCCAGUGAGGAGGGCUCUGGGCCCCGGCCACACUGGGCAGUGCCUUUCAUGGCAUUUUCCGUUUGGCCUCACCUCUUCCUUUGUCCUGUUUUUAGCCUAAUUCCUUUCAAGGCUCUGGCAUGGGACUCUGAGCUCAUUUUCAUGAUUGCUUUAAAUAUUUGGGGCUGUUGGCAUGCCAACACAGGGACCCACGCUAAGGAGGGAGAGGAAUUCUCUAGCUCUCUGGGUUCUGCCCAAACACAAGGAAUGUGCCAGAGGCAGGGGAGGUUCUGAGAAAAUGCCAGAUUGGGUCGAACUAAACCGCUUUCCUACCUGGCUUAGGGAGCCAGGAAUUUUGGCAGGAGACAAGAAAGUGAAAGGACACGGUGGCCUGGGGUGGGGGUGGCGGGUGAGGAUAGCGUCUCCUCCAAGAAACCCAAGCGGAGCCCUGGAUGAAGGUGAAAGGGCAGCAGCAGCACUGAUCUGGAGAAGCAGUGUCUGUGUCCGAAAAUGGUGAGGAGUGCCAGGAACCAAUGUCUGGACACCAUCCUGGGAGCCAAUUCGGAAAGUCAGAUGGACAGAAGGAGACUUUAAAAGUCUUGUCAUGGAAAAACUCGGAAGUCACAGACAUAAGCUCUCAGACAGAGCCUGAGAGUUGCUCCAAUCAACUCCCAACACUUUAGGGAUCAAGAAACAGAAGCUGAGAGAGAAAUGGGGUGACCUAGGCCACACUGUUCAUGGUUGUAGCACCAGGACUGGAACCUACAUCUCCUUCUCCUCUUCCCAAGGCUCCCACCUUCUCAAGGACCAGAGAGAAGCUAGGAUUCAUU
rnacentral:lncRNA from 1 species